rnacentral:rRNA from 1 species
AUGCAGACCGAGGCGCGGGUGGGCGGCGUGGGCCUCGACGGCCGCGGCGCCGUCUCGGCCUCCCCCCGCCAGGAGCAGCAGCAGCGCCACAUCGGCACCGCCGCGCACCUCGCCGCCGGGGGCUUCGCCGGCGUCGUCAGCAAGACCUGCACCGCGCCCCUCGCCCGCCUCACCAUCCUCUUCCAGGUGGCAGGUAUGCAUUCAGAUGCUGCAGCUCUAAGGAAGUGUAGUAUAUUGCACGAGGCUUCACGUAUUGUUCGAGAAGAAGGGUUUGGGGCAUUUUGGAAAGGCAAUCUUGUCACCAUUGUACAUCGAUUACCUUAUUCCGCUAUGAGCUUCUAUUCAUAUGAGCGAUACAAAAAGCUUCUCGGAAUGGUGCCUGGCCUGGAUGACCCAAAUUAUGUGAGUGUCGUACGUUUACUUGGUGGUGGUUUAGCGGGAGUCACAGCUGCAUCUGUAACUUACCCGUUGGAUGUUGUUCGAACUCGUUUGGCAACACAGAAAACCACCAGGUAUUACAAGGGCAUCUUCCAUACGUUGUCCACAAUUUGUAGAGAAGAGAGUGGCAGAGGAUUGUAUAAAGGCCUUGGGGCCACAUUAUUGGGAGUUGGACCGGGUAUAGCAAUCAGCUUUUAUGUUUAUGAAUCCUUGAGGUCUCAUUGGCAAAUGGAAAGGCCGAAUGAUUCCAAUGCCGUUGUGAGCUUGUUUUCUGGGAGUCUAUCUGGUAUUGCAGCGUCGACAGCUACAUUUCCUCUUGAUCUUGUAAAGCGACGGAUGCAACUACACGGGGCGGCUGGGACAUCGCAAAUCGAAAAAUCAAGCAUAACUGGAACCAUCCGCCAAAUCCUUCAAAAGGAAGGUCCUCGUGGCUUCUACCGAGGCAUAGUCCCGGAGUACCUGAAGGUUGUUCCUAGCGUUGGAAUCGCCUUCAUGACCUAUGAGGUAUUGAAGAGCAUGCUCUCCAGCAUUGAUGGGGAUGAUGAGAACUAA